rnacentral:rRNA from 1 species
AUUGAACGCUGGCGGCAUGCUUUACACAUGCAAGUCGAACGGCAGCACGGGAGCUUGCUCCUGGUGGCGAGUGGCGAACGGGUGAGUAAUGCAUCGGAACGUACCCAGUAGUGGGGGGAUAGCCCGGCGAAAGCCGGAUUAAUACCGCAUAUUUCCUGAGGGAGAAAGCGGGGGACCUUCGGGCCUCGCGCUACUGGAGCGGCUGAUGUCGGAUUAGCUAGUUGGUGAGGUAAAGGCUCACCAAGGCGACGAUCCGUAGCUGGUCUGAGAGGAUGAUCAGCCACACUGGGACUGAGACACGGCCCAGACUCCUACGGGAGGCAGCAGUGGGGAAUUUUGGACAAUGGGGGCAACCCUGAUCCAGCCAUGCCGCGUGAGUGAAGAAGGCCUUCGG